rnacentral:lncRNA from 1 species
UAAAAUUUGCCCUGAAAGGUUCCAGUUGACUAUUAUAUGUAUGUGAGUGUCCAUGUGUCUGCUACUACUCGGCACCUGGUAUAAAUAGUAUUAUGAACAAAAGUAUAAUGGAAAAGUCGCUACGAACAAUGGGAAAAUAAUAGGCUCUGUUACUCGAUAAGUAAGGCCUUACGAGUACAUGCCAAAAUGGACUUUUUGACUUAAAAAUACACGAGAAAGCUGGCUGUAAAUAUCGGACGUUUAUUUAAAAAAACCCGGUAUACCUCUCUUAGGUUCGGGAUCCGGAUUACCAUUUUCACUUACUAGGGCACUUGAAUAAGCAAUAAUAUUACAGAGAAGUAAAGUUAUUAAUAACUUGAUUAGCAUGAUGAAUCAGUGAUAUAGAUUCUGUAGAGUUCUUGGCAAGGUGAAGUCAAGUUCGUAAAUGGCUAACUAGUAUUCCGCAGCCAACACUUAAGAAAGUGAUCUCCAACGCAAACUCGACUCAAGAUAAUUUUCAUCUGACUUCGGGGAAUCCAUCGGUUAACUCGCAUAGAUUGGUUAACUCAUGAUACAAUGAAUACAUUGUAUAAUAGGUUAUCUAAGAAAUAUUGCAGGAUUUCUGCGAUAUAGUCUGGAUUAAUAAUUACCUCUGAUUAAAUAUGCUAUUGUCUUUAGGUGUCACAUUAGCAGUGCAAUGAAAGAAAUUGAAAUUAUGCUACAUUUGCGAAACAUAAUCGGUAGAAGUGUAAUAGAAAAUGGAAAACAAUAAUCAUCGACCAGGCGGAAAUAGAUGAUAAAUUAUUUCAAUAUCCAGACAUUAUUUUGAAUAUUAUCAAAAGAUGUACAGCCCUAAAACAUCAAAUUAAAUAAGAGUAGAAAAAGUGGUAAUUUUCUAGUUUAUCUGUGUAUCGCGUCAAUAUGCUCAUUUUUUGCUCUGUAAAAUGCGGGUGGUUCCAACCACUUAAUUUACGCUUAUAUAAAGUAUAUUAUAUAGCUAUAUAGUAUAUAUAAAUUUUGCCU